GCCAUUUCCCAUGUCUCUCUGUUCUCCAAACCGCGAUGAAAUUUCAACCUGCCCAACACGAUUACUGGUCCACCUAGAAAUGCCGUGGAGCGAUUUAAGAGCCUCGGAAAUUUCCUUUAAGGUCAGGAGAGAAGCUGGUAACAGAUGGGGCGAAGGAGGAAAAGUUCUUUUUGCGGCACCCUCACGCCUUCCCAGCCCUUUCGCGGUUUACUCGCUCCCCGGAAAGCAGAAAUGAAAAGAGGCUUGCUCAUGACUUGGAAGCGGUGGGCUGAGGCCUCCCAAGACCAUCUGGCUUGUUCCAUUGCCAGCCAGAGUGGAGGCGACAUUCACACGAACCCAGGAGCUGCAGGGGCGCGUGAGCUACAGCUGCCUUGUGGCAUCCAAGGAGUGCGCAACUAGUCUCACUCUGUUGCCCAGGCUGGAGUGCAGUGGCGCGAUCUCAGCUUACUUCAGCCUCCGCCUCCCGGUUUCAAGUGAAUUCUCCAGCCUCAACUUCACAAGUAGCUGGGAUUACAGCCACUUUUUAUCUUCUCUCCUGCAAUCCAACCCACAUAAUUUCCAUGAAGAAAGCGGAGUGGUGUCAUUUUACAACAAGAAAACUGAGUUAAGAAUAAGUCCAAUCAAUUGCUAGGUGUUGAGACUGAAAUGGAAGUCUCUUAGUACUCCACCCAAGGAUUUUCAUAUUAAACAAUUAUCU
rnacentral:lncRNA from 1 species